GUGGGGAAUAUUCCGCAAUGGACGAAAGUCUGACGGAGCAACGCCGCGUGAGUGAUGAAGGUUUUCGGACUGUAAAGCUCUGUUGUUUAGGACGAAAGUGCCUGUUGCAAACAGUUACAGGUAUUGACGGUACUAAACGAGGAAGCCACGGCUAACUACGUGCCAGCAGCCGCGGUAAUACGUAGGUGGCAAGCGUUGUCCGGAAUUAUUGGGCGUAAAGAGCAUGUAGGCGGGAAUCUAAGUCUGUUGUGAAAAUGCGGGGCUCAACCCCGUAUUGCGAUGGAAACUGGGUUUCUUGAGUGCAGGAGAGGAAAGGGGAAUUCCCAGUGUAGCGGUGAAAUGCGUAGAUAUUGGGAGGAACACCAGUGGCGAAGGCGCCUUUCUGGACUGUGUCUGACGCUGAGAUGCGAAAGCCAGGGUAGCGAACGGGAUUAGAUACCCGUGUAGUCC
rnacentral:rRNA from 1 species